AGAGUUUGAUCAUGGCUCAGAUUGAACGCUGGCGGCAGGCCUAACACAUGCAAGUCGAGCGGAAACGAGUUAUCUGAACCUUCGGGGAACGAUAACGGCGUCGAGCGGCGGACGGGUGAGUAAUGCCUAGGAAAUUGCCCUGGUGUGGGGGAUAACCAUUGGAAACGAUGGCUAAUACCGCAUAAUACCUUCGGGUCAAAGAGGGGGACCUUCGGGCCUCUCGCGUCAGGAUAUGCCUAGGUGGGAUUAGCUAGUUGGUGAGGUAAUGGCUCACCAAGGCGACGAUCCCUAGCUGGUCUGAGAGGAUGAUCAGCCACACUGGAACUGAGACACGGUCCAGACUCCUACGGGAGGCAGCAGUGGGGAAUAUUGCACAAUGGGCGCAAGCCUGAUGCAGCCAUGCCGCGUGUGUGAAGAAGGCCUUCGGGUUGUAAAGCACUUUCAGUCGUGAGGAAGGUAGUGUAGUUAAUAGCUGCAUUAUUUGACGUUAGCGACAGAAGAAGCACCGGCUAACUCCGUGCCAGCAGCCGCGGUAAUAC
rnacentral:rRNA from 1 species